GACGAACGCUGGCGGCGCGCUUAACACAUGCAAGUCGAGCGAAGCGGCGGACGGGUGAGUAACACGUGAGUAACCUGCCUUAGACAUUGGGAUAGCCUCGGGAAACCGGGAUUAAUACCAAAUGGUCUAAGAUGGACUCGCGUCCCAUUAGCUAGUUGGUGGGUAACGGCCCACCAAGGAGACGAUGAGUAGCCGGGCUGAGAGGGGGAAUGGCCAUAUGGGAACUGCGAAACGGGCCAAACGCCACGGGAGGCAGCAGUGGGGAAUAUGGCACAAUGGUGGAAAGCCUGAUGCAGCGACGCCGCGUGGGGGAUGAAGGCUUUCGGGUUGUAAACCUCUUCGAUAUCGAACAGGGUAGGUGGAGAAGAAGCGCCGGCUAACUACGUGCCAGCAGCCGCGGUAAUAC
rnacentral:rRNA from 1 species